CGGUCCUAAGGUAGCGAAAUUCCUUGUCGGGUAAGUUCCGACCUGCACGAAUGGCAUAACGAUGGCCACACUGUCUCCUCCCGAGACUCAGUGAAGUUGAAAUGUUUGUGAUGAUGCAAUCUACCCGCGGCUAGACGGUAAGACCCCAUGAACCUUUACUGCAGCUUUGCAUUGAACUGUGAACCGAUUUGUGUAGGAUAGGUGGGAGGCAGAGAAGAGGCCACGCCAGUGGUCUUGGAGCCGACCUUGAAAUACCACCCUGAUUUGUUUGCGGUUCUAACCACGGACAGUGAUCCUGUCUUGGGACCGUGCAUGGUAGGCAGUUUGACUGGGGCGGUCUCCUCCUAAAGGGUAACGGAGGAGUACGAAGGUACGCUAGGUACGGUCGGAAAUCGUGCUGAUAGUGCAAUGGCAAAAGCGUGCUUGACUGCGAGAGCAACAACUCGAGCAGAUGCGAAAGCAGGUCAUAGUGAUCCGGUGGCUCUGAAUGGAAGGGCCAUCGCUCAACGGAUAAAAGGUACUCUGGGGAUAACAGGCUGAUACCGCCCAAGAGUUCAUAUCGACGGCGGUGUUUGGCACCUCGAUGUCGGCUCAUCUCAUCCUGGGGCUGUAGUCGGUCCCAAGGGUAUGGCUGUUCGCCAUUUAAAGAGGUACGUGAGCUGGGUUUAAAACGUCGUGAGACAGUUUGGUCCCUAUCUACCGCGGGCGCUGGAAGAUUGACAGGGGCUGCUCCUAGUACGAGAGGACCGGAGUGGACGCACCUCUGGUGUAUCGGUUGUGACGCCAGUCGCAUUGCCGAGUAGCUAUGUGCGGAAGAGAUAACCGCUGAAAGCAUCUAAGCGGGAAACUUGCCUGAAGAUUAGUCUUCCCGGAGGCUUGACCUCCCUGAAGGGUCGUCCGAGACCAGGACGUUGAUAGGCCAGGUGUGGAAGCGCUGUGAGGCGUGAAGCUAACUGGUACUAAUUGCCCGUGCGGCUUGAUCCU
rnacentral:rRNA from 1 species